rnacentral:rRNA from 1 species
GAGUUUGAUCGUGGCUCAGAUUGAACGCUGGCGGCAUGCUUUACACAUGCAAGUCGAGCGGCAGCGCGGGGGCAACCCUGGCGGCGAGCGGCGGACGGGUGAGUAAUGCAUCGGAACGUAUCCCGUAGUGGGGGACAACCCAGCGAAAGCUGGGCUAAUACCGCAUAUGCUCUACGGAGGAAAGUGGGGGACCGCAAGGCCUCACGCUAUGGGAGCGGCCGAUGUCCGAUUAGCUAGUUGGUGGGGUAAUCGCUUACCAAGGCGACGAUCGGUAGCUGGUCUGAGAGGAUGAUCAGCCACACUGGGACUGAGACACGGCCCAGACUCCUACGGGAGGCAGCAGUGGGGAAUUUUGGACAAUGGGGGCAACCCUGAUCCAGCCAUGCCGCGUGCGGGAAGAAGGCCUCGGUUGUAA